UGCAAUUUCAUAAGCGGAGGAAAAGAAACCAACCGGGAUUGCCUUAGUAACGGCGAGUGAAGCGGCAAAAGCUCAAAUUUGAAAUCUGGUACCUUCGGUGCCCGAGUUGUAAUUUGGAGAGGGCAACUUUGGGGCCGUUCCUUGUCUAUGUUCCUUGGAACAGGACGUCAUAGAGGGUGAGAAUCCCGUGUGGCGAGGAGUGCGGUUCUUUGUAAAGUGCCUUCGAAGAGUCGAGUUGUUUGGGAAUGCAGCUCUAAGUGGGUGGUAAAUUCCAUCUAAAGCUAAAUAUUGGCGAGAGACCGAUAGCGAACAAGUACAGUGAUGGAAAGAUGAAAAGAACUUUGAAAAGAGAGUGAAAAAGUACGUGAAAUUGUUGAAAGGGAAGGGCAUUUGAUCAGACAUGGUGUUUUGUGCCCUCUGCUCCUUGUGGGUAGGGGAAUCUCGCAUUUCACUGGGCCAGCAUCAGUUUUGGUGGCAGGAUAAAUCCAUAGGAAUGUAGCUUGCCUCGGUAAGUAUUAUAGCCUGUGGGAAUACUGCCAGCUGGGACUGAGGACUGCGACGUAAGUCAAGGAUGCUGGCAUAAUGGUUAUAUGCCGCCCGUCUUGACAGGACCAA
rnacentral:rRNA from 1 species